rnacentral:tRNA from 1 species
AGGAUAAUAGUUAAAUUAACAUUUAAUUUGCAUUUAAAAAAUACUGAUUAUCAGUUUAUCUUA